CUGCGAGCGUACAUUGAGGCACAAGAAGAACGGGAAACCUGAUCCGUAUAACAUGAAGUGGACCAAUUUCGGUGGUAAUUGAUCGGAUUAUUCUACUUUAAGAAAAGGAAACACCACACUACGGCAUAAUUUCAUUUUUUCCCCUUCGAAGAGGAGGAUGGUGGCCGGGUAGUUACAACUUCGGACACGCUGCUGUUCCUUGGCACGCGCACUGAUCCAGUUGGUGAGGCAGCAGUAGCAGGGUUCUGAUCCUGAGGAGAUGACUGAGGUGGUAGAGCCCAAGCUGGACUUUGCAUCCUCGGGUCGCUCGGGGAGAAGGAAUGCCCUACCUGACAUCCUGGGUUCACCGGCUGGGGUCAACCCCACUGACCUGCAACUCAAAUUGUCCGAGCUCCACCUCACAGAUGGUCUGGGAGAAGCCCAGUCUCCCACGGCAGAGGAGGCCCCACUCCCUACAGAGAGCUCUGAGAGGAAUGAGGGAUCAUAAGGCUGUCUGGGGGGAGGCCCCAAACCAGCCCCAAUGUUUACCUCCAGGGAAGCUGAUGAGAACUGGAGAAGAGGGAUGGAUGGGUAGAACGAUACAGAAGGACCGAUGACGGAGAAUGAUGGGCCUGUUUUGAACAGCAGCUGAGCUGCAGAGAGAAGGAUGAUGAUAGGAUGGACAGGGAAUGGUCUCUAUCACCCAAUCUGAAAAGACUCUUAAGAAAGCGUUGGUGUGUGUGGGUGGAAAGAUCACCUCUACUCCAACACACUGCCAUGAGAAACAAUGGAUGUAUGCUGAUUAUAUGAUGUUGUACACUACAAUCAAUCAAUUCAAUCAAGACUCAAAACAUUCAGCAACGGAGAAGUCACAAGUGAAAAAAUAAAAAAUGUACAAUAUCCUACUGGUGUCUAUUAAUUGGCCACUGAUUCAACACAGCCAAUCAUGUGGGACGAUGGGCGGAUCCUAGUGGCCAAUAGUGGUUCAGAGCUUUCUGAUUGAUCUGGAAGAGAAAGUAAUGAUGUAUUAUAAUGUACUGGAUGUGUAUGAAGAAUGAGGUGAGAGUGAGUUAACUGAAAACAAGAGGCAGCUGGCUUCCUCUUUCGGUGUCACACAGACAUUGAUGUAAUCAUGAAUUCACAUCUGAGACUUUAAUACAGAGGGGCAGUGUGGUAUGUAGUGCAUGUAUGGGUUUUUAAACGUUGUUCAAAUGGUUGUAAUGACAACCAAUGGGGCUAAAGCUAAUGGAUCGAGAUGAUUGCUGUGAUUGUGACCAGAAGUGUUGAUGUGUUUAUUUGCAAAGGUUAGCUAGAUGCUAAAGCUAACAUUAUGAGUUUUAGGCUGGGUUUCUGUACAGCACUUUGAGAUAUCAGCUGAUGUACGAAGGGCUAUAUAAAUAAAUUUGAUUUGAAUUUGA